CCAAUAGCGUAUAUUAAAGUUGUUGCAGUUAAAAAGCUCGUAGUUGAAUUUCGGGAUUAGUACGCUGGUCGUGCCUUCGGUAUGUACUGGUGUUACUGGUUCCUACCUUCUGACGAACCGUCAUGUCAUUAAUUUGGUGUGGCGGGAAAUCAGGACUGUUACUUUGAAAAAAUUAGAGUGUUUAAAGCAGGCUCGCGCUUGAAUACAUUAGCAUGGAAUAAUGAAAUAGGACGUUCGAUCCUAUUUUGUUGGUUUCUAGGAUUGACGUAAUGAUUAAUAGGGAUAGUUGGGGGCAUUAGUAUUCAAUUGUCAGAGGUGAAAUUCUUGGAUUUAUUGAAGACUAACUACUGCGAAAGCAUUUGCCAAGGAUGUUUUCAUUAAUCAAGAACGAAAGUUAGGGGAUCGAAGACGAUCAGAUACCGUCGUAGUCUUAACCAGAAACUAUGCCGACUAGGGAUCGGAUGAUGUUAUUUUUAAUGACUCAUUCGGCGCCUUACG
rnacentral:misc_RNA from 1 species